rnacentral:rRNA from 1 species
UACGUAGGUGGCAAGCGUUGUCCGGAAUUAUUGGGCGUAAAGGGCGCGUAGGCGGCCUGGCAAGUGACGGGUGAAAGCCCUCGGCUCAACCGAGGAACUGCCUGUCAUACUGCCGGGCUUGAGUCCGGGAGAGGUGAGUGGAAUUCCCAGUGUAGCGGUGAAAUGCGUAGAUAUUGGGAGGAACACCAGUGGCGAAGGCGGCUCACUGGACCGGAACUGACGCUGAGGCGCGAAAGCGUGGGGAGCAAACAGG